CGAACGGGAAAUAUUUUAUUGAAACUUCGGUAGAUUUAAUUUAUUGCUAGUGGCGGACGGGUGAGUAACGCGUGGGUAACCUGCCUUAUACUGGGGGAUAACAGCCAGAAAUGGCUGCUAAUACCGCAUAAGCGCACAGGACCGCAUGGUCCAGUGUGAAAAACUCCGGUGGUAUAAGAUGGACCCGCGUUGGAUUAGCUAGUUGGCAGGGCAGCGGCCUACCAAGGCGACGAUCCAUAGCCGGCCUGAGAGGGUGAACGGCCACAUUGGGACUGAGACACGGCCCAGACUCCUACGGGAGGCAGCAGUGGGGAAUAUUGCACAAUGGGGGAAACCCUGAUGCAGCGACGCCGCGUGAAGGAAGAAGUAUCUCGGUAUGUAAACUUCUAUCAGCAGGGAAGAUAAUGACGGUACCUGACUAAGAAGCCCCGGCUAACUACGUGCCAGCAGCCGCGGUAAUACGUAGGGGGCAAGCGUUAUCCGGAUUUACUGGGUGUAAAGGGAGCGUAGACGGCGCAGCAAGUCUGAUGUGAAAGGCAGGGGCUUAACCCCUGGACUGCAUUGGAAACUGUUGAGCUUGAGUGCCGGAGGGGUAAGCGGAAUUCCUAGUGUAGCGGUGAAAUGCGUAGAUAUUAGGAGGAACACCAGUGGCGAAGGCGGCUUACUGGACG
rnacentral:rRNA from 1 species